UCCAUACUGCCAGAUUAUCGGCUCUGUCCAGUCAUUUGACGUUUCAAGCCGUUUCUCCUGCAUUUAUCUUGCUGUUGCCUGUUUUCCUGGUCUAACCCUGUCUCCUAUUCCUCACAGUCCCAUCUGAUCUGGCUCCUGUCCCUGUCUCCUGUUCCCCGCAGUUCCGUCUGGGAUUCCGCUCCAGACCUGGUCCCCUUGCCCCAGCUUGCCUCAGCCCCAGGUUCCCAGCUACCAUCCUCAGCCCCAGCUCCAGGUUCCCUGCUACCAGUCCAGACUUCCUCAGGCCAACAUUCCCUUUUCCUCAUCUUAAAAUAAAUGCCUUGUUCCUACCAUA